GAUGAACGCUGGCGGCGUGCCUAAUACAUGCAAGUCGAGCGAAUGGAUUAAGAGCUUGCUCUUAUGAAGUUAGCGGCGGACGGGUGAGUAACACGUGGGUAACCUGCCCAUAAGACUGGGAUAACUCCGGGAAACCGGGGCUAAUACCGGAUAACAUUUUGAACCGCAUGGUUCGAAAUUGAAAGGCGGCUUCGGCUGUCACUUAUGGAUGGACCCGCGUCGCAUUAGCUAGUUGGUGAGGUAACGGCUCACCAAGGCAACGAUGCGUAGCCGACCUGAGAGGGGGAUCGGCCUCACUGGGACUGAGACACGGCCCAGACUCCUACGGGAGGUAGCAGUAGGGAAUCUUCCGCAAUGGACGAAAGUCUGACGGAGCAACGCCGCGUGAGUGAUGAAGGCUUUCGGGUCGUAAAACUCUGUUGUUAGGGAAGAACAAGUGCUAGUUGAAUAAGCUGGCACCUUGACGGUACCUAACCAGAAAGCCACGGCUAACUACGUGCCAGCCGCCGCCGUAA
rnacentral:rRNA from 1 species